UGCUCUGUUGGACAAAUUGGUCAAGUCGCUACCCUUUCAAGGUAGAGAAUGCGAGUUCGAAUCUCGUACAGAGUAUCAU
rnacentral:tRNA from 1 species